rnacentral:lncRNA from 1 species
CACCCGCCAUGCAUUACACCCGCUGAGGACUCUGGGCAUGUGUAGAACCUCAGUGCACAGGAGGUUCUGUGUUCCUGCCUCAUUGACAGGUGGCCAUGAUGUUACUGCUCAAUCCUGACAAGAAGGUUCCUGGUAUCUAAGACGUAGGACUCGUUUGCAGGGAGAAGACGGCUGUCCUUAGAGGCAACAUUUACUUUUAGCAGCUUUAGGCCUGGCACAGGAAGCAGUCAGAUGAGUUGGACUCUCACAUCUGCCUCCUUCUGCAAAUUCAUCCAGUGCUCCAGGCAUGUGCUCCCAUGGC